AGAUCGCAGAUAUGAUAUGUCGGGGACAAAAUCCGAAAACUAAAAUUGAAUUUGGAGUGGUACAUCUACUUACGAAUCUAUCCAGGAUGGCCCAGCUUGAUGAAAGAUUGAAGGCACCAGAAGAUUUCUCCUACUGAAGUUUUGUUCCCCAUAUGAACAAAUAAUCAUCACAGUUAAUAAGGAAGAAGCUCCAAUCAUCAAGUUGAAGUGGUGAUUAUUAAUAAUCAGAUGCCAGCUGACAAAUAGCCUUGAGUGUAGAAGAGAAACUGAUGACUGACAUUCGUCUUCCCUCAUCAACAACUCGCUUGCCUGUCACAAGUUCCAAACCCAUCAUCCGACGUG